AAAUUCGAAAGGCACGUCUGGGUUUGCAAGGCAAUGUCAGGGUUUGCGGGAGACGGAGGCGAAAGUGUGUGAGUCCGAGUGAACCUUUCAGAGUUGCGUGGAGGUUGCUGCAGAGUAGUUCGUAGGUUUCCCUUUUGCCUCUUUUCUCUCUCUUUUUCUCUAGGGUUUGUAAUAGUCUCCAGCCUGUUUUUCUCUAAUAAUC
rnacentral:lncRNA from 1 species